CCCAGCAUCAGGGAGCCCAAUGGCUGAAGGCUUUCUGUGUACAGCGUCCUGGACCGAUCGGUGUGAAUCCAAGAAUGAGCGCGCCCCCUCGAAGGAAGCUCUCGUGUCGCAGAGCCGUUGACAAAAUAGAAAAGAGAGACGUGAGCUUUUUCUCCGCAAGAAGCCAUGAGAAUCAGCCCGCCGAGGCUAAUCUGUCGAGCGGAAGUCGGACGAGUGUAAAGUGAGCCAAAUCUCACCUUUAGUGCUGCUGCCCGUCUUUCUCCUCCUCCCGUGCAAAGCUGUGUUUCUAAUAUCUGAUCUCGGUGAAAUAUGAGUUUAUAAACACAAAGCUGGGUUUAUUAUGUUGCUUUCAUAAGGAUUGCCCACCUGCCCUUGUCAAAAUGAGCUGACCCAAAUUCCUCUGUGAAAGGAUUAAAGAAAAAGCCCAAGUUGAAGACAGAGGGGACCACGAGGACUCACACGCGCAUGCAAACACACAUAAACAUCACAUCCUGGCAGCGGCCUAAUCUACUUUAUGGCUGCUGUUUCACCUGGAGGCUACAGCUCCGGGCAUGAAAGUGAGUCGCGCUCAGCAAGCGUUUGGGACAACAGGCCGGGCUCAAAGAAAAACAAUCCUACCCCUCCCCCUCAAAGUUCAGCGGCCUCCCCCCCUCCCUGAGUACCAAUAAAGUCCCCUAUCCCAGGCCUGCCUGGCUCAUAUUUACCACGCUAUCCUCUAAUUAAAGAUGCAGCUCGCGCCGUGUCUGUCGAACGUGACGGUUCCUCUGCCUGCAGCGCUCUGUGUGAUUUACUGCCAGAGCCUCCUGCUGUCUGUCAUCGAUUUGGCCUUCGUUUUCCCGCCUUCGUUUCCCCCCCACCCCUCCAAGCUCUCCGCUCACACAGGGGGGAACGUCUGACAGGUGGAGGGGUGGCAGAGCUAACCUGCUUCUUCUUUUUUAGAAAAUAACAAACACCGGCGUGAUCAAGCAACUGGAAUAACAAGAAGAGGGCAGACGCCCUUUUCUUGGAGAUUAACUUUAGUGCUGGUGGAGAUUAAGUGUGUGUUGUAUAAUAGUCAUAUAACCAGGCUGCAACAACAUAUCACCUUUACAACCGGUUCAUACUUAAUUAUGUCUGUUGAUUAAUCGAUUGACUUCAAAACACCCGUCGCAAUUCCUUCGGGUCCAAUGUGAUGUUUUCAAAUGGCAGACAUUUCAAAAGCCAAAAUGUUAUUCUUAAAAAUGUUCAAGGACAGCGAAUCUCAAUCAUUGACUUAAAGGAUUACUUUACUUCUUUCACAAUGUCUUCAGCUGACUUAAGUUACAUCGCUUGAAGCAUUUUCUCAGAUGUAACUAACUCUCUCUGGAGCCCCGACCGCCCCUUCCUGUUUAAUCUUAGAAUAUUAUCUGGACACAAAUGGUGUUGUGAUAGAUUUACUGAGAAACUUAAACAAGUAGCUUCUGUGUAACAGCGCAGGUGUCAUUUUGAUGGCUCCUCAGACGUCAUGUUCGGACACGCAUCCUUCUUUUAAUCCAGACUCGUACCACGCCAGAGAGCGUGCAAUAAAAGGGACUCAUACAAUAACUAAAGUACACAAACCCUACGAAAAAUGUUGCACAACUUUGAGUCAGGAAGACGGCCGAGAGUUAGUUUUAUCACAGAGCAAGAAUCUAUUGUUGAAUAAAAAAAAACUUUCCAAGGCCCUUUGGUUUGUGGGGUUCUUUGGUGGCAUGAGGCCCGUGUUGGGACGUGUGCUCGGCAUGUCGGGUCCUACAGAGACGUCC
ensembl:lncRNA